GACGAACCGUGCGAACGUUGUUCGGAAUCACUGGGCUUAAAGGGCGCGUAGGCGGCUCGCCAAGUCGGGGGGUGAAAUCUUUCGGCCCAACCGGAAAAGGGCCUCCGAUACUGGCGAGCUCGAGGGAGGUAGGGGCGGACGGAACUUCCGGUGGAGCGGUGAAAUGCGUUGAUAUCGGAAGGAACGCCGGUGGCGAAAGCGGUCCGCUGGCCCUCUACUGACGCUGAGGCGCGAAAGCCAGGGGAGCAAACGGG
rnacentral:rRNA from 1 species